CUAAAGAUGCACUAUGCAACUUUUUGAUUGGGGGUUCCUCUGUCUGCUUGUCACCUCUUGUCUCCAUGGAGAUGCUGUUGAUAUGUCUGAAAUCUUCCAGAGUAUGGUAUUAAACUUGCCCAUGUUUAAUGUUUUAAAACACCUUGAGCUCAUACAUACUCUUAAUGUGAGCGGGGUUGCCUUUCCACAGAUCUGACCUAUAAUCUCCCCUGUACGUCACCCGCUUGUCUCCAUAAGUAUAGGUAAGUUUAACCAUACUGUGAAAUAUUCCAGGCAAAGCAAUAACAAGCAGUUGGCACACCCUCCACCAGAAAAGUUACACAAUGCAUCUUUAAAUAGAACCACAGAAAUGAACUGAGGAAGAAAAAUCUGACAAGGGAUAAAAUUGUGUUCUGAGAUCAGACGUAGGUCUGAUGUAAGUUUAAAAUUUCACAUCCAGAAAUAAUUCUUAAUAUUUCCAAAUGAUACUCCGUGGGUUUGACCCAAUUUGGACCUGGUCCUGGUUGAGACCUGGGGUUAUUUUAAACCUUGCUUAGUUCUCAUUUUGUCCCUGACUUUAGGGUCCAGUUUACUCCUUAAACUCAUCUGUAUUCCCUUUUUCAAUUUGAAUAUGAAAUAAUAAUUGAAACAGUUCGUGAAAAUUAACCUCAAAGUACUUAGUCGUUUUUUGUAGCUUCCAACAAAGGGUUUAGACUUGACCUGGCUUAGUCUGGAUUUAGACUGGGUUUAGAACAGCUUUAGCCCGGGUUUAGACCAAGAUUUGACCAGGUUUAGACCAGCUUUAGCCCAAGAUUUGACCGGGUUUAGACCAGGUUUACACUGAGAUUUGACCAGGUUUAUACCAGGUUUAGACCAAGAUUUGACCGGGUUUCGACCCUUUUACUUUCUCCGUUAAAUGACACAAACUCGCUGUGAACAAGUCUAAACUCCAUGAACUCGAACUGUGUGAUCCCUGCGUGAACCACUAGGAGACGCUACGUUCUUCCUCCCUGUUUUUCUGCAUGUCUGUUUUAGUGCAACUUUUAACAAGAAAAAAGAAAACAAAAAAUAAUAUGAACUUGUAAAGGAUUUUAUCAGGAGCCCGACGAGAAACGGGCUCAAACCUCACUUUUAAUUUCUGUCAGAAAUCAUCAUAUUUUUGGUUAAAUAGUUUGUUUUUCCUAUAGACAGAUAUAUAUAUGAGUAAAGCUAUAUAAAUCUUAACUUGUAGUGGGGUACUCAACAAUACGCUAUGGGACAAUGUGAGCGAAUGAAUGAGAAACUAAUGUUAAAGUCUCUGUACCGGAUUUUUACCGUCUUUAAAAACGUGAAACAAAGAACUAGUUCAUUUCAAAUGGUUUGCAGUGAAAGUCCAAAGUUAUUCCUCACUUACCUUAUGCAUUAUGAGCAUCCUAACUAUUCACUGCGAUGAAUUCAUAAGUGCUUUUCACAGCUUUUACAGACCAGAGCAGAGUUUUGCCAUCACUGUAAUGCUAAAAACAACUAGCAUGCUAACUAGUCCUGACACUUCCUGAUUCUUGGACGAUACGACGCUUCGAUGUAGAUAGUACACAGUGGUCUUAUUUUGACUGCAAGAGCUGCUUAUACGAUAUAUUUGUACUGGGGUAAGACACAUUUUGCUGAAAUACAUGAGGAAAAAAAUCAGGUACAGGGCCUUUAAGUCAUUUUCAUCAAAAACACUUCCAUUUUCUAUAUUUUGCAUAAACAUUUUUGCUCUGUAACCCUGUUCUAAUGUAUGUAGAUUCCUCCUCAAAAACAUACCUGGAACUUAACCUAACUUUGUAUUUAAGUGUUUUUGAUGAAAAGCAGUUUGUGUAUUUUCUGUCUGAUACAAAAAUCUGUAACUAAAACAUCAGAUUUUUGAGAAUUUUUACAACGGAAAAAUACCUAACUGCAUUUAAGUGACUGCGCAGACUGGGCACUUUUCAAUCUCUCCAACACCACAAAAAUCAGACUUAUAUUUUUCUUUAUUUUGUUUUUGUUCUGGUUCAGUUUUGGUCUAGUCCUGGUCCAGAUUGUUUGGUACUAAACCAGGACUAGACCAGGACUAAACUUGGGUCUUAUUAAACCAUCGACCUUCUUGAAAUUGGAGUUUUGAAAAGUUUCCUGCUGCUGUAUUUGUGUGAGUGGAUUGGGAACUUGUACAAAUCUGAAAUUGAAUUAUAAUUUUUAGAUUUCUGGACAUUUAGAGGUGUCUUAGAAAAGGGUUGUGGGUUCAAUGCUGCUCUGACUCGCUCAUGUCUCUUGUGCCAUCGACGCUGUAACUCUGGACUGUAAACACAACACACACUCCAUAACUUUCAAAUAAAUAUUCUUUUUCCUAAACUGGGAUCACAGAGUUUUAUGUUGUUUUCAUUCUACGCGUGUAAUCACCCCUGCUGAC
ensembl:lncRNA